rnacentral:misc_RNA from 1 species
UAACGAGGCUGGUGUUUCAAGGCGUUGACGAUCCAAAGGCCUGACUCCACAGCGGUAAUGAGCCUCGUCUACCUUGCACUUUGACGGACAACGCUCACUACCAACACUUCUAGAAGCCUCCGCCGUAAGAUUGCAUCGCGCACACGGUCUACUCUUAACGACCGCCACCGCCGCUGCCGCCGUUGAGGGAGACUGGCUGGGUGAGUGGGUGAUAGAGGCGAGGCAAGUGUGGUGAGGCGGAGGAUUGGAGACGAGAACCUACAGAUGACGGCAGACACGGAAGAUUCCACUAACCAGGAGUUGGUGAUCCGAAGCCGUGACUGCAGCGAUCCCGUGCGUCCUGCACCAUCAAGGAAGGACUCUCUGGCUUCGCACUGGGCCUACAUUGACCGUUGCCGCCGCUGCUACCGCUACUCGGAGGGGCACUGCCUCGCAUUGGGCCUUCACUGCCGUCCCGCUAAUACACGUGUCGCCGUCGCAGCUACUGGCACUGAGGGACUUCGCCUCGCAGCGGCCUGGCAAACACCUGCUACACCACCACCACUAACUCCACCGCAGUCCAGAGAUUCAGCUUCGCAUAGCAGACAUCCUCCUAUUCAACGCUUGCUGCCACUACCACCUCAUUAUGGUGGUGUCACUGUACUUGGAUCUGUUGUCACUACUGAAUAAUAAUGUGUAAAAAAUCUUUUUGUUUC